AACGAACGCUAGCGGCAGGCCUAAUACAUGCAAGUCGAACGAUACCAGAGAGCUUGCUUUCUGGGAAAGUGGCGCACGGGUGCGUAACGCGUAUGCAACCUACCUUAAUCAGGGGGAUAGCCUCUCGAAAGAGAGAUUAACACCGCAUAACAUCAUUUUACGGCAUCGUAGAAUGAUCAAAUAUUUAUAGGAUUAAGAUGGGCAUGCGUGACAUUAGCUAGUUGGGUAGGUAACGGCUCACCAAGGCUAAGAUGUCUAGGGGAUCUGAGAGGAUGACCCCCAACACUGUGACUGAGACACGGACCAGACUCCUACUGGAGGCAGCAGUAAGUAAUAUUGGUCAAUGGAGGCAACUCUGAACCAGCCAGGCCGCGUGCAGGAAGACGGCCCUAUGGGUUGUAAACUGCUUUUAUACGGGAAUAAACCUCUCUACGUGUAGGGAGUUGAAUGUACUGUAAGAAUAAGGAUCGGCUAACUCCGUGCCAGCCGCCGCCGUAAGAC
rnacentral:rRNA from 1 species